rnacentral:rRNA from 1 species
UACGUAGGGUGCGAGCGUUGUCCGGAAUUCUGGGCGUAAAGAGCUCGUAGGUGGUUUGUCGCGUUGUUCGUGAAAUCUCACGGCUUAACUGUGAGCGUGCGGGCGAUACGGGCAGACUGGAGUACUGCAGGGGAGACUGGAAUUCCUGGUGUAGCGGUGGAAUGCGCAGAUAUCAGGAGGAACACCGGUGGCGAAGGCGGGUCUCUGGGCAGUAACUGACGCUGAGGAGCGAAAGCGUGGGGAGCGAACAGG